rnacentral:rRNA from 1 species
AGAGUUUGAUCAUGGCUCAGAACGAACGCUGGCGGCAGGCCUAACACAUGCAAGUCGAGCGCUACCUUCGGGUGGAGCGGCGGACGGGUUAGUAACGCGUGGGAAUAUACCCUUCACUAUGGAAUAGCCUCGGGAAACUGAGAGUAAUACCAUAUACGCCCUUCGGGGGAAAGAUUUAUCGGUGAAGGAUUAGCCCGCGUAAGAUUAGAUAGUUGGUGGGGUAAUGGCCUACCAAGUCUACGAUCUUUAGCUGGUUUUAGAGGAUGAUCAGCAACACUGGGACUGAGACACGGCCCAGACUCCUACGGGAGGCAGCAGUGGGGAAUCUUAGACAAUGGGCGAAAGCCUGAUCUAGCCAUGCCGCGUGAGUGAUGAAGGUCUUAGGAUCGUAAAGCUCUUUCGCUAGGGAUGAUAAUGACAGUACCUAGUAAAGAAGCCCCGGCUAACUCCGUGCCAGCAGCCGCGGUAAUACGGAGGGGGCUAGCGUUGUUCGGAAUUACUGGGCGUAAAGCGUACGUAGGCGGAUUAAUAAGUUAGAGGUGAAAUCCCAGGGCUCAACCCUGGAACUGCCUUUAAAACUGUUAGUCUUGAGAUCGAGAGAGGUGAGUGGAAUUCCAAGUGUAGAGGUGAAAUUCGUAGAUAUUUGGAGGAACACCAGUGGCGAAGGCGGCUCACUGGCUCGAUACUGACGCUGAGGUACGAAAGUGUGGGGAGCAAACAGGAUUAGAUACCCUGGUAGUCCACACCGUAAACGAUGAAUGCCAGACGUCAGCAAGCAUGCUUGUUGGUGUCACACCUAACGGAUUAAGCAUUCCGCCUGGGGAGUACGGUCGCAAGAUUAAAACUCAAAGGAAUUGACGGGGGCCCGCACAAGCGGUGGAGCAUGUGGUUUAAUUCGACGCAACGCGCAGAACCUUACCAACCCUUGACAUACUCGUCGCGGAUUCCAGAGAUGGAUUCCUUCAGUUCGGCCGGACAAUGUACAGGUGCUGCAUGGCUGUCGUCAGCUCGUGUCGUGAGAUGUUCGGUUAAGUCCGGCAACGAGCGCAACCCACGUCCUUAGUUACCAGCAUUUAGUUGGGUACCCUAAGGAGACUGCCGGUGAUAAGCCGGAGGAAGGUGUGGACGACGUCAAGUCAUCAUGGCCCUUACGGGUUGGGCUACACACGUGCUACAAUGGCAUCUACAGUGAGUUAAUCUCCAAAAGAUGUCUCAGUUCGGAUUGGGGUCUGCAACUCGACCCCAUGAAGUUGGAAUCGCUAGUAAUCGCGGAACAGCAUGCCGCGGUGAAUACGUUCCCGGGCCUUGUACACACCGCCCGUCACACCAUGGGAAUUGGGUCUACCCGAAGGUGGUGCGCCAACUAUUUAUAGAGGCAGCCAACCACGGUAGGUUCAGUGACUGGGGUGAAGUCGUAACAAAGGUAACC